GAAAGCUCCACGUAAAUUUUAGUCUAACCCCCUUUUCUCUCUGCUCCUCUUCCUAGAGUAUCAAUGUACAAAUGGACGAAGACACACUACAUGAAAUUCUCUGUGAAGUAGACUUGAACAAGAAUGGUCAGGUUGAGCUCCAUGAGUUUCUGCAGCUGAUGAGCGCAGUUCAUACAGGAAGGGUGUCUGGAAGCCGGCUUGCCAUCCUCAUGAAGACUGCCGAGGAGAACUUGGACCGUAGAGUUCCAAUCCCCGUGGAUCGUAGUUGUGGAGGAUUGUGAGUCUGACCAAUAAAUCCACAACCAACAAGCCUAGGACAGUCAGCACUAUGUACAACCAGAGACGACUUAAACCACUCUAAAAUAGUGGCCAUUGUAGCUGCCUUUUUUUUUUUUUUUUUUUAAAAAAAAAAAAAAACAAACAAGGGAAAAACAGCAAAAUCAAAAAAAAAAAAAAAAAA
rnacentral:lncRNA from 1 species